GGGCGGGCGCUUCCGGGGCGCGCGCCCGAGCGUCUCCGGGUCGCGGUCCCUCAGCGCGGCCGGCGGCGCCCUCAGACCGGCGGGCCGGGUCUCGUGUCCGCCCCCCGGUCGCCUCCGCCCCGAGCGCGGCUCCUCAGGCGAGGCUCCCGGACGCGCGGGGGUCGGCGGAAGGCGCGGGCCGGGGGCGCACGCCCCGCAGCGGGGAGCCGAGGCCGAGGCGGCGCGGCCGCGGGGUCCGGCCGGCGCGUUUCCCGCCCGGCUGUGGUCCGAGGCGUCCGCCGGCGGAAGCCCCCCAGCCCUGCUGCUUCGCUCACUUAACUAGGCCGCCAGCUGGAGCGCGUCUGGGGGCGACGGCAGGGCCCCAGGAGGCCGGGCCGGGGCCUGGCGGCCGGACGCACGGACCCCCUCGGGCCCUUCGCGGCCCGGGGCGCGUGACCCCCGCUCCGGUUCCAUCCGGAACCUGCAGAGUCGCGGCGGCAGCGUCGGCCCCGCAAGGAGGGAGGUUGGGGAGGGUUAGACGGGUUAACAGGCAGAGCCCCGCGCUGCUGUGCCGCUGGGAAGUAAGAUGCCCUGUUUCCCGGGGGCUUCAAGGCAGCAAAGAGCCGCUUAGGAUCCGGGGCGAGGGCGUGUGUUCCGUGGAUGAUGGGGUCGCCGCAACAGCGGCCCGUCAGAUGCCACGUCCACCGCGGAGCUGGGGGCGGGUUGCCCUCCCCGGCGAAAGGGACGUUGCAGAGAUGCUGCAGGAUCCUGGCGGAGGGAGAGCCUGGGGUGUCCGGGUGGGCCCGUGGUGAUCCCGAGGUUAAGUGCGGGAGCGGGGCGAGGGGAGGAGCCGUGAGGGUGGAGGCCGUCCGUGUGCCUUCACCGCCCCUAAACCGGAUGCCCCCGAAAAGGCAGCUGCCGGUGCGCCUGCUGCUUUCGGGCCGUGGGGUUUUCCCGCUGGCUGCUUUAUAAGGUGUUCUUCUCGUAGGUUUGAUUUCUGCUCCUGUGCUAUGUAUGUUUGGGAGCGUGUUCCUUUUUAUUUAUGGUGCUUGAGAUACACCGGACCUCCUGAAUGUGUUGAUCAGUGCCUUUCAUGGGUUCUGGGAAAUUUUCAGCCGUUACCUCUUCACAUGCUGCUUCUGCCCCCACUUUCUUCUCUCCUUCUGUAACUCCAAUUAGGUGUCUGUCAGAUCUUUUCCAUCCACUGUUUCUCUUACCUUCUCUUUUUUUAUAUUUUCUAGAUUACUAAUUCUCUCUUCUAUGGUGUUAAACUUAUGUAUUGAGCUAUUUUGGGGGGGGAGAGGGAAUUUUAGGUUCUAGAAUUUCUACUUGAUUCUUUUAAAAAUCUGUUCGAUUCAUUAUUUUUCUUUAAAGAUUGGCACCUGAGCUAACAUCUGUUGCCAAUCUUUUUUUUCCCUUCUUCUCCCCAAAGCUGUCCAGUCCAUAGUUGCAUAUUCUAGUUGUAGGUCCUUCUAGCUGUGCUAUGUGGGACGCUGCCUCAGCAUGGCCUGAUGAGCGGUGCCAUGUCCAAUCCCGGGAUCCGAACUAUCGAAACCCUGGGCCGGCGAAGUGGAGCACUCGAACUUAACCGCUUGGCCCCAGGGCCGGCCCCUAGAUUCAUUUUUAUAAUGGCUAACUCUUUGCCAAAAUUGUCAAUCUUGGCUUUUAUCUCUUUGAAUAUAGUAGGCAUCGUUGGUGUCCAGUCUGGGUCUCUGAUAGGUCCAAUAUCUGGAGUCCCAGUGGGUCUGUUGUAGGUUCUUCGUUCUAGUUAUUUGUUGUGUAUUGUUUAAGCUGGUUCUUGCUCCUGUUGUCACCUGUCUUUGUAUGCUAGACAUUGUAACAGAAACACUUGAAACCCUAGUGAAACAUAUGAUGAUUUCUUUUCCCCACAGAGGAUUUCAUUUUCUUCUGGCCGGUGCCUCAGGAUGCCAACAAACAGGAUCACUCUAAUCCAGAGCGUUGGGCACUUGGGGGGACUGAUUUAGUCUGGUUCACUCCACCUUCCAGGGUGCUGUCCUUCUGAGGACCAGCUGAAAACAGGUUUACCAGAGUCACCACUCUUGACAGGUCCUAGACUCCAUAUUUUGUUCCCUAGAUUGCUUCUGAAUCUGGAAAUGCCCCCAGGGCAAAAGUGCUCUGCAUGUGUGGACCCUGUCCUCUUCUGCUUCUUGGCCAGCUAAUUUCUCACUCACUACCUGGUUAGCUUUUGAUGAUUUAAAAAUGUUGUUACAGGGUACCUCCAUACUUGGCAAUGUUCAAAAAAUGAAAUAUUAUUAUAGAUUACAAAGGAUAACGCGUAAUAAUAAUGACAACAAUGACAAAAAACUCUACCACUUAUUGAGUACCUUCUGCGUACCAGCCUCUUGGUUGGACCUCUUAUAGUCCUUAAUGUAAGUAGAGGAAAGAUUGGAGACUUGGGUUCUUGUCCUGGCUUGACAACUGAUGAGCCAAGUAACUUAGACAAGACCAACCUCAAGUCCUCCAUGAAGAUCCCUCUCAGUUCUUAAAUUCUGUUAUUCAAAUCUACAUAGAAUUGAACGUCCAAGGCGCCUUGGGAGGAACUUGCCGGUGGUAUGUUAAAUGUUGCAGAGGAACUUCCUGCUAGCCCACCUGCGUUAGUUUCCUAUUGUUGCUAUAACAAAUUACCACAAAUGUAGUGGCUUGGAACAAUGCAAAUUUGUCAUCUUACAGUUCUGGAGAUCGGAAGUCCCAGACGGAUCUCACUGGGCUGACAUCAAGGUGUUGGCGGGGCACUCCUGGAGGCUCUAGAGGAGAAUCCGUUUUCUUACCUUUUCCAUCUUAUAGAGGCUGCCCACAUUCAUUCUUUGGCUGUGAUCCCCUUCCCACAGUUGCAUCACUCCAAGAAUAUAAACAAUAUAAAAUCAAAGUAUUUUAGAAGAGUGGCAAAGAGGCUGGAAAGGAGAUAAAUAAUGUUCUAAGGUUCUCUGUACAUCUGCAGCUUCUCUUUAUAGAGAACUUGCUCUCCGUUUCCUUGCACGCGGCUGUGAGACACUGGCGUCCUCAGCUCCAGAGUUCAGAUAACCACCAUUCCAAAAAAUGGCCAGCUGUUUUAGUUUCAGUUACAAAAUCUAAGGAGAAAGCAACUGACUAGCUCAGUUUUUAUCGGAGUCUACUCCUAGUCCAAUCAAGUUUGUCUAGGGGUGGGGUGGCAGAGUGAAAAUGUGGCUUGCAAAUUCUACUCUGUCAGUUAGGAAGGGUGGAGAAUUGUCAGUGAAAGAUGGUUGCUUUGAGCUAAGCAGACACCCCAAAGGUUGUGUAACACGUUCCACCUAUUGGAUGGCAGCACACAGACGAAGGCCUGAUGGUUGGGAGAGGCAGAUUCAAAUCCAUAAGUAUUUAAUACAUGCUGUCAUUCUGGCUUGCUCCAAAUAAGCCAAUGUCAUAAUCUCUGUAGGAACAUGAUUUUGGUUCUAAGAGACCACAGGCCAUAGUUUAGCCCUGUGGUCCCCAAUCUUUUUAAAAUAUUCCUCUCAGUAUGACCUUUUUAAACAUGCACCCAUAAUAUAUGAAUAUGUAAAUAUUUUAUUAAGGCAUUUCAUGUGAACAUUUUUAUACCGUGAACAAACAUGCAAAUAUAAAAUUUUAAAGAGUGAAAUGAACAAGAUUUUUAAAUGUCUUGCUAAUCAUAAUGGCUUCAUAUUAUCAUUGGUGGAUGUAAAUCCAUAUUUCAAAUAGUCGUCUUGAAAUUUUUGAGCCUCCUCGUGUCAAGUCUGGUUACAUCAUCAUUGUUUUCAUCUCAGUAUGUGGCUGACAAGAGUUCGUACCAGAAGUGGACAAGUGUUGGCUCUGCCGUUUUCUUGUAUUUCAGUUGUACUUUCAUUAUUAGUAUCAGUUAUUUACCAUGGUUUCUUAGGAUUCUUUUUAAGACACUCAGGCGUUUUGUGAUGGUUAGCUUAGUUAAAACUGGAAAAUAUAAUCUAUGAGUUGAUGUAACUGGACUCUCAAACUGCCAGCUGUCAUAAUAUACUAUCACGUGAAGUGUAUUAAGUGCCUGUGUGAGGGAUCCCUUUAGAAUCCUCUGCAUUGGAGGGGGAAUCCCCCUCUUUCCUCAGGAUUGCCCUCAGUGAGAGGGAUUAUGUAGAAAGUGAAAGAAGUUAAUGAUUCAAAGCUCCUCGCUUUCAUGGGCCCCUAAUCCUUUCCAUUCCACUUUCCCCUCUGUCAUACAUCCAUCCUUCGUGUUGGAUGGGUGUUGGACUGGCAGCGGGCAUCUUUUGGGAUCUAAGUGGAAGCUGAAUGGGCUGGUGCAUUUAAUUUGGGUUUAAUGGAAAAGAUGUAUGUGUAAGUUAUCAUUAGCCUUCCUGAUGUAGGAAUGCUUUCCAGGAAUAUUUUUACACUGCCGACUCAUCUAGCUCCUGGGACACGAAGAUGCAAGGCCAGAGGUCAGAUCGUGAUCUGAGUGUGUCCAACCAUGCUGGGUACUAGGAGGAUGGGGGUAGUGGAGGAGAAACAAUUCGAAAUGUAUGGAAUCAGAUACUGUUCUUUAGAGAAUUUGUCUAAAGAGACAUGCAAAAUUAUAAGUGGAAGAUUUGGUUCUCAUUAAUGCCUAGUCAAAAUGGAAGUCUCUACUGGCAGGAAUACACUAAAUAAUGAGGCAUAUAAAAUUAACAACUCACCACACAUUUUUUCUUUCUUUUUUUUUUUUAGAUUGGCACCUGAGCUAACAACUGUUGCAAAUCUUUUUUUUUCUCCCCAAAUCCCCCCAGUAUAUAGUUGUAUAUAUAUAUUUUUUUAGUUGUGGGUCCUUCUAGUUGUGGCAUGUGGGAUACCACCUCAGCGUGGCCUGAUGAGCAGUACCAUGUCUGCACCCAGAGUCCAAACCGGCAAAACCCUGGGCCACCAAAGCAGAGCAUGCAAAGUUAACCACUUGACCACGGGGCCAGCCCCCCAUUUUUUCUCUCCUUAUGAGAAAAAUCACAUGAAAUUGAAAUUUCUGUGUUUCUUUUCUUCUUCUAAAUAACAAUUUGCUUUCAUUCCUUAUUUUGGAUUCAUAAUUUUUUGUUCUUUUUCUUUAAGAAAGCUCCCAAAAUACGGUUGUAUCAGGCCACAAAAAACCUAGAUUCAUGCCUGCCACAUACCUGAGUGACAUGAAACCAUUUGACAUAUGAAUUAAGUAAGAACAAUAGUGUCAAUUCAUAUAUUAAAUAGUCGUUAAACUUAAUUUUUCAAUUUUUUAAAUAAAAAAUAUAAAAGUAUGUGGUCUAAUAUGUUUCCAUAUCUCAGUGAUGAGAUUUGUAUGCUCCCCUUCAGAGACAAUGGGUCAAACCAACUAUUUUGCUAUGGUUGAAUAAGAAAGGCUUGCUGCACGCCUAGAAAAAUGGGGCAUCCCACCCUCCACUGCCUCUCCUUGAAUUGGUCACUCACACAUUUCAAGCACUGCACUUCUGUCACCAAGUUCUGUUAGACUGAACCAUAUAAAAUUGUAGUUUUUAUAGGUCAAAAAUGGUCUAACAUUGGAAAAUUCAUAGGUUCACCAUAGUAUAUCAUUUAGGAUGCAUUCAGCUGCAUGUAAAAGAAACAAGACUCAAAUUGACAUAAACAAUAAGGAAACAUAUUGUGAGGAUAUUGGUGAACUCACAAAAUUGACUAAAAGGCUUUAGAAGCAAGUUUGGAAAACAGGCAGAAACCAAAGAAGGCAAAGUAGAGGUUUGAGACCCAACUCUGUCAUUUUGACCCAACUGUGCCAUUUUGAGCAAGAGUUACUUAACCUCAAUGGGACCUGUUGAAAAAAAUGGGGAUAAUAAUAUCUACCUCAAAUGGAGCAUUAGGUUAAGGAUGAGAGGAAUGGAAAGGGGCCAACAAUUAUUGAGCAUAGAGUAAUGUGUGCCAGUCCCUGAGAUGAAUGCUUUAUAUGCAUCAACUCAAAUUAGAAAGUAUAUGUACAGUGUGGGGGAUGGGGGAGUUGGUAAUCCUUAGAAGCACAGAUAUCACUUUAGCAUUCUCUGGGAGGAUGUGUCAGUCACAACCUAGCAGGAAAGAGAUGGCACACUCAACGGGAAAAAUGGAGGAGAAUUUAAUGGAGUAACCAUUUAUGAGGGUGUGGGCAGAGUUAGGAGACACCAAUAAAGGAUGAUGAAGCACUGUAGGGCAAGCCUGGAGGGACAAAGGAGUAGUCAGCAACUAAAACUCAGGAAGAGACGUGUGAGAGCAGGUGCCCGACUCUGCUGUGGCCUGCCGUGGAGGCACAGUGCAGAGCACCCGGAAAACAAAGACCUGAUAUUACUCCUCUCUCGACCUUAGACCUCCUAGUAGGGCCUCCCAUCAGUUAAACCCAACUGGAAGUCAGAGGGAAAGAGGUACCAUUGAUAUGGUCCAAGAAGGUCACCCACUGGGGCAGAGAGCAGGGUGGAAAAGGGUGGAAAGUGGAUUCGCAGGGGCAGAGGAGAAUAUCUAGCACAGAAAGUGUAGAAAUGAGCAAAGUUACCUCGUAUAUAUGUUCUCUUGUGGGAUCAGAAAGAUUUAAUCCACCUGUUUGGAGACCAGGGACUUCAGAGAAAGGAUCUUUCUAGGCUGGGCUUACAUCAGAACCUGCCUUGUUCUAAAUUCUAGCUCAAGGGUGAUGAGAUUAGAGUGUGUUAGUCAACUCUGAUUAAGCCUUCCACAAGGCCAAUUCAGUGAUUAAAUUAACAGUGAGCACUUACACCAGUUUUUAAAAAUGUCUGCUCGUCACUCAAAGUCAAGAAGAAAUGUUGCAUCUCAAGAGCUAGGUAAGCUGUUAUGGAGCAUGGGUUCUGACUAGCAAGCUGCUGUAUCCCAAACUCCAUCUCAUUUUCAUGGAUCCUCCCCAAAUUAAGCUAAUCCUGCCACUCACCCCUUUUUCUGUAUGUGGUCUCUCUUCUUCAGUAAACAAUCCCGAUUACAUGGGGCCAGGAAUGGAACUACCUAGAUCAAGUUACAAACUCUGCACUAGCCUCCAACAGCAUUAAGAUGGGCCUUGGAAGCAAGCAGAGCUGAAGAAAAGAAGUUAUAGGUCCUUCUAGUUCUGCUAUAUGGGACCCCACCUCAGCAUGGCCGGAUGACCAGAUGAGUGGUGCUAGGUCUGCACCCAGGAUCCGAACCAGCGAACCUCGGACGCCAAAGCAGAGCAUGCGAACUUAAGCACUCGGCCACAGGGCCAGCCCCUAAGCAUGAAGUUUAAAUGGAAUGUUUAACAAAUGGAUGGGUCUGCAUUUUGGAGGAGGUCAUUUAGAACAGGCUUUGAAUAGUUUUGACAGCAGCAAGUCCUUCACCUGAUGCUUUGUUUAAUUUAAGCCUUCUAACCAAAUGAGAUACAUGAGGAGAUAUUCCUGGGUACCAACUAGUGAAGACCUUGGAACUACAAAUGUCAAUGUAGUCUUAGGAUGAUACUGGCAGGAAGGAGGCCUCGCAGGUCAGCUGAGAUUUGUGCAUAUCUGUGCUUACCAUAAAUAAUUAUGUGCCCAGAUCCAUCUUCUUCAUUGGUUCUGGCAUCCCACAACGUUCAUGAAAGUGAAUUUUAGGCAAUAGGGUUACAUUUGAAGAGAUCCCGUCUGAUCUGUCCGCGUUCCUUUUGCACACCGCUGCACCAACCCAGGUAACGAUCAGUGGAGGGUUGACUGAGCUCCCAGGACUCCAACUCCACCAGCCUCCCAGGUGACGUCCUGAGACAGUGCUUCUCAGACCCUCCUCCUCAGGUUCGGUGGGCAUGCCCUCGAGGGAUAAUAAGUGUACCCCAAAAGCACCAGUCCUAAAUGCGUAGCCUGAUGAAUUAUUGCAUAUGUAUCCCCUUGUGUCAUCACCACCCAGAUCAGGAUAAAGAAAACUUCCAGCACCUCACAAGAGUCCCUCUUGCUUCUUCCCAGUCUGCAUCCCAACCCAACGGGAGAUAAAGAAAUUCGGCAUCAAAGAGGUUAAGAAACAGUCAAAGGCCGUCCAGUUACAGGCUCAGUAAAAAUUCCAACCCAGCUCAUCGGACUCCACAGCAGCCGCUUAUCCUACCAUCCCGCUCUGCGCCUCCCAGAACCAGUGGGCUGCUGCCCCUGCGUGCCCCCAGAUCAACCCAGACUUAGUCACUGGGUGGGUUUUGCUGCCAUGGCAGCCAGUUACCGAGCAACUGAUCACCUUGCCUGGCAGAGAUCUGAUUUAGCUGUGCUCAGUGUCUCCACAACUCAGUCUGCCGCUUUGUGGUCUGUCUUGAGGACGGAUUCUGAUCCAGUGUGUGGCGGGCGGUGUGACUGAGGGCAGAGAGGCCAUCAGACUGAUAACUGCUCUCCUUAUCGACUCCCAGGGGCAAACUGCAGAGGCAGGCCCUGUGACAGCUGCUGUAAUCACAACCCAAAAGACGGUCCUUUAUUCGCGCCUGAUAUGGAAAACCGUUGGUCAUGCCCUAGUCAUUUCAGUAACACCUGCGUGUUCUUGGUCUUUGA
rnacentral:lncRNA from 1 species